rnacentral:rRNA from 1 species
UACAGAGGGUGCAAGCGUUAAUCGGAAUUACUGGGCGUAAAGCGCGCGUAGGUGGUUUGUUAAGUUGGAUGUGAAAUCCCCGGGCUCAACCUGGGAACUGCAUCCAAAACUGGCAAGCUAGAGUAUGGUAGAGGGUGGUGGAAUUUCCUGUGUAGCGGUGAAAUGCGUAGAUAUAGGAAGGAACACCAGUGGCGAAGGCGACCACCUGGACUGAUACUGACACUGAGGUGCGAAAGCGUGGGGAUCAAACAGG